GAUGAACGCUGGCGGCGUGCCUAAUACAUGCAGGUCGAGCGAACGGACGAGAAGCUUGCUUUUCUGAUGUUAGCGGCGGACGGGUGAGUAACACGUGGAUAACCUACCUAUAAGACUGGGAUAACUUCGGGAAACCGGAGCUAAUACCGGAUAAUAUUUUGAACCGCAUGGUUCAAAAGUGAAAGACGGUCUUGCUGUCACUUAUAGAUGGAUCCGCGCUGCAUUAGCUAGUUGGUAAGGUAACGGCUUACCAAGGCAACGAUGCAUAGCCGACCUGAGAGGGUGAUCGGCCACACUGGAACUGAGACACGGUCCAGACUCCUACGGGAGGCAGCAGUAGGGAAUCUUCCACAAUGGGCGAAAGCCUGACGGAGCAACGCCGCGUGAGUGAUGAAGGUCUUCGGAUCGUAAAACUCUGUUAUUAGGGAAGAACAUAUGUGUAAGUAACUGUGCACAUCUUGACGGUACCUAAUCAGAAAGCCACGGCUAACUACGUG
rnacentral:rRNA from 1 species